UAUGAAAGGGUUAACGAGGAAGGCGCUGUGUCUAAAAACUUAGUUUAAACUAACUUAAAGGUGAAGAGGCCUUUAUAAGAAAGAAGGACGACAAGACCCUAUGAAGCUUUAUCUUAUUAGGGAUUUGAAAGAUCCUUAUACGAUUUUGAUGGGAGAUCAGUAAAAAUAAGUCUUUUACCAUUAUUUUUAUCUUACAAGUGUUUCCUAAUUUUAUAUGUGUGACUAGCUACUCUAGGGAUAACAGCGCAAUUUCUCCCGAAAGAUGGUAUUGGAGGGGAAGAUUGCGACCUCGAUGUUGGC
rnacentral:rRNA from 1 species